CUUGAAUAAGCAUAAGAGGUCCAGCCUGCCCAGUGACCAUGUUCAACGGCCGCGGUAUCCUAACCGUGCGAAGGUAGCGUAAUCACUUGUUCUUUAAAUAAGGACUAGUAUGAACGGCAUCACGAAGGUUACACUGUCUCCUCUUUCUAAUCAGUGAAACUAAUCUCCUCGUGAAGAAACGAGGAUAAACAUAUAAGACGAGAAGACCCUAUGGAGCUUCAAACUAUAAAGCACCUGCCCCAGUACUACUUAAUUCCAGAAAACCACACCUACCCAGGCAAGAUGACCUUUAGUUUUAGGUUGGGGUGACCGCGGAGCAAAAAAAAACCUCCACAUUGAAAGGAGCCAACUCCUUAGCCAAGAGCCACACCUCUAAGCACCAACAAAAAGACAUCAAUUGACCCAAUAUUUUUGAUCAACGAAC
rnacentral:rRNA from 1 species